GACGAACGCUAGCGGCAGGCUUAACACAUGCAAGUCGAACGGUAAGGCCCCUUCGGGGGUACACGAGUGGCGCACGGGUGCGUAACACGUAUGCAACCUACCCUUCAUAGGGGGAUAGUCGCGGGAAACUGCGAAUAAUACCCCAUACGAUCAUUGAUUGGCAUCGAUUGAUGAUGAAAGUUCCGGCGAUGAAGGAUGGGCAUGCGUCCCAUUAGCUAGUUGGUGAGGUAACGGCUCACCAAGGCGACGAUGGGUAGCUGGUCUGAGAGGAUGAUCAGCCACACGGGCACUGAGACACGGGCCCGACUCCUACGGGAGGCAGCAGUGAGGAAUCUUGGUCAAUGGGGGCAACCCUGAACCAGCCAUGCCGCGUGGAGGAAGACGGCCCUCUGGGUUGUAAACUCCUUUAGCUAGGGGCUAAGGCGGUGCUAUAUGCACUGUUGCAGGUACCUAGAGAAUAAGCGCCGGCUAACUACG
rnacentral:rRNA from 1 species